rnacentral:rRNA from 1 species
GAUGAACGCUGGCGGCGUGCCUAAUACAUGCAAGUCGAGCGAACAGAUGAGGAGCUUGCUCCUCUGACGUUAGCGGCGGACGGGUGAGUAACACGUGGAUAACCUACCUAUAAGACUGGGAUAACUUCGGGAAACCGGAGCUAAUACCGGAUAAUAUAUUGAACCGCAUGGUUCAAUAGUGAAAGACGGUUUUGCUGUCACUUAUAGAUGGAUCCGCGCCGCAUUAGCUAGUUGGUAAGGUAACGGCUUACCAAGGCAACGAUGCGUAGCCGACCUGAGAGGGUGCUCGGCCACACUGGAACUGAGACACCGUCCAGACUCCUACGGGAGGCAGAAGUAGGGAAUCUUCCGCAAUGGGCGAAAGCCUGACGGAGCAACGCCGCGUGAGUGAUGAAGGUCUUCGGAUCGUAAAACUCUGUUAUUAGGGAAGAACAAAUGUGUAAGUAACUAUGCACGUCUUGACGGUACCUAAUCAGAAAGCCACGGCUAACUACGUG